CCCUUAGAUGUUCUGGGCCGCACGCGCGCUACACUGACGAUGGCAACGAGUUUUUCCUUCGCCGAAAGGUGUGGGGAAUCUUUUGAAACAUCGUCGUGCUGGGGAUAGAUCAUUGCAAUUUUUGAUCUUGAACGAGGAAUUCCUAGUAAGCGCGAGUCAUCAGCUCGCGUUGAUUACGUCCCUGCCCUUUGUACACACCGCCCGUCGCUACUACCGAUUGAAUGGUUUAGUGAGGACUCCUGAUUGGCGCCGCCGCGCCGGCAACGGAGCAGCGGACUGCCGAAAAGUUGUUCAAACUUGAUCAUUUAGAGGAAGUAAAAGUCGUAACA
rnacentral:rRNA from 1 species